rnacentral:rRNA from 1 species
UACAGAGGUCUCAAGCGUUGUUCGGAUUCAUUGGGCGUAAAGGGUGCGUAGGUGGUGAUGCAAGUCUGAUGUGAAAUCUCGGAGCUCAACUCCGAAAUUGCACCGGAUACUGCGUGACUCGAGGACUGUAGAGGAGAUCGGAAUUCACGGUGUAGCAGUGAAAUGCGUAGAUAUCGUGAGGAAGACCAGUUGCGAAGGCGGAUCUCUGGGCAGUUCCUGACACUGAGGCACGAAGGCCAGGGGAGCAAACGGG